UACAGAGGGUGCGAGCGUUAAUCGGAAUUACUGGGCGUAAAGCGCGCGAGGCGGCUUUGCAAGUCGGGUGUGAAAUCCCCCAGGCUCAACCUGGGAACUGCAUUCGAGACUGCAUUGCUAGAGUAUGGGAGAGGGAAGUGGAAUUUCCGGUGUAGCGGUGAAAUCGUAGAUAUCGGAAGGAACAUCAGUGGCGAAAGCGACUCCUGGACCAAUACUGACGCUCAUGUGCGAAAAGCGUGGGGAGCAAACAGGAUUAAGA
rnacentral:rRNA from 1 species